rnacentral:tRNA from 1 species
AGCUUAUUAGUUUAUAUAAAAAUUUUUGUUUGUGGUACAAAGGAAUUAUUAGCUAU